AGCCAGUCUUAAAAAACUGUGCUGUAUCUACAAAGCUUUAACUACAGUAGUUGAUAAGGAUGCCAACGAAAGCUGAGGGUGUAGAGCAAAGUAGUUCUAAGCUUCAGUUAAACUUCUUUAGGUAAGAACUUAUUUACUUUUUCUUUCUUAAUUUUCCUCCCUUAAAAGAUAAACUAAUAAACUCUUCAAUGGUCUUUUCAGUAUAGUUCUUAUGUAGUUUAACAUAGCUUAUAAAUUGAGUUUAACAAUAAACUCAAGAUAAUUUUAUAAACCCUGUUUUCCAAUCUGUCAUUUACUUAAAUUAUUUUGGUUGUUUUCCCUUUUUUUCCUUCUUUCUCACCCCCUCCCUUUCCAUGAAGAUUCAGGUGCUUAACAUAUCAUUUUUUUCCCUGCUGGAAUUUUAGCAUUGAUAUGAACCAUGGACAAGUAUAUUCUGCUGCCACAAAGACUGUAAAGUGCUUCAUUUCAACAGCUGAGGCAAGCCAAGUGAUCAUUAAUAAAGCUUUUCUUGCUUCCUUCAGUGGUGUUGGUAGUAAAAUGGUAGGUAAAAGUUAGGCUGCAAGUUCAAUAAAUGAGAUUUACCUAUCAUUCCACCCUUGUGUAUUCAUUCACCUAUCCUGGUUCAAGCAGUUUGAGUCAACUAGGCAUUUAAAGGCAUUGUGUUUAUUGUGGUAACAACUAUACAUGCUUAUCAGGGAUGAGUCUGACAGUGUUUUCUUACAGUAGAAGUUUCUGUGCAACAGCAGCAGCAAAACCCUCUAUGUACCCUGUACUAAAUAGUUGGGGUAAAAUGUGGUAAUUUUUUGCCCAUUGUCCUGCCCUAAAAUGUUGUAGGUUGGCUAUUGAAAUUUCCUGAAACAGCCCUCUUGAUUUCUAGGCUUUAUUGCCUUUUCAGAAAUGUGAUAUUGAGCGCUUAUUAUACACAUCAGUGAGUCUGCUUUAAUCCUAAACCCACCACUGAAGUUACUUAGGUUCUGUGGACAAACAUGAUAAACUUCUUCAGAUACUUUUUUUUUCCUUUGGCAGGAAGGUGUCUUGCUGCAGGUAACUAAUGAAGAAGUGGUCAACCACAGAGUCUUCAAGAAAUAAGAAAUUCUGUACCAUCUGAAAGUAGUUCUUGUUGGUGCCUUCAUUUAAGAAGCACUUUUAAGAAAAGGGAAUGUUUUCUGAUUUAAAACUUCAUUUAGUACAGGUUCUUAAUAAAAUUACAAAAAUGCUGAUUGUAAAGGGUAACAUCAAAUUAGCAAAGGAUAAUGUAUUGUUUUAGGAUUUGUGAGUAGACAGAUAAGAGCUCUAUUUUAAAUACAAGUUUUAUAAAAUAAAUACUUUUGUAUCC
rnacentral:lncRNA from 1 species